GGUUGAUCCUGCCAGUAGUCAUAUGCUUGUCUCAAAGAUUAAGCCAUGCAUGUCUAAGUAUAAGCUUGUUUAUACGGCGAGACUGCGGAUGGCUCAUUAAAUCAGUUAUAGUUUAUUUGAUGGUCUCACGUCGGGCCGGCAACGGACCGACGACCCACUCUACUUGGAUAACCGUGGUAAUUCUAGAGCUAAUACAUGCGCAAGGUCCCGAGCGCGGGGCCGGGGCCGUUCGCGCGGUCCCGGUCCGCAUGCGCGGAGGGAUGUAUUUAUUAGGUUAAAAACCAGCACGCAC
rnacentral:rRNA from 1 species